rnacentral:rRNA from 1 species
GACGUAGGGCGCGAGCGUUGUCCGGAUUUAUUGGGCGUAAAGAGCUCGUAGGCGGUUUGUCGCGUCGUCCGUGAAAACUCACAGCUUAACUGUGAGCUUGCGGUCGAUACGGGCAGGCUAGAGUUCGGUAGGGGAGACUGGAAUUCCUGGUGUAGCGGUGAAAUGCGCAGAUAUCAGGAGGAACACCGGUGGCGAAGGCGGGUCUCUGGGCCGUAACUGACGCUGAGGAGCGAAAGCGUGGGGAGCGAACAGG